UACGUGGGCAGCGAGCGUUGUUCGGAAUUACUGGGCGUAAAGAGUGUGUAGGCGGUGCUCUAAGUUUGGUGUGAAAUCUCCCGGCUCAACUGGGAGGGUGCAUCGAAAACUGGAGUGCUCGAGGGUGGGAGAGGUAAGCGGAAUUCCUGGUGUAGCGGUGAAAUGCGUAGAUAUCAGGAGGAACACCUGUGGUGUAGACAGCUUACUGGACCACUUCUGACGCUGAGACACGAAAGCGUGGGUAGCAAACAGG
rnacentral:rRNA from 1 species